AGAAAUAAUGCUAUUUGGGUUACUGUUGCGCUUUUGCUGUUUGGCACCAAUGAAUCUGACCUAGUAGCAGAAACAAAUGACAUCCAUGCACAUUUAGCAACAGGAUAUACAGGUAACUGAAGCUCCAAUUUCUGUGAUGCGUGUAUACGGCUUAAGCUUGAAAACAUCUGGAGGAGAGCCAUUGGGAAGUGUCAAUCCAGGUCAGCCAAAGGUUUUCUC